AAACUAGGGGGCUAGUGUAGACAUACCCUUAGUCUAGGGAGAUUUAAACUGUAUCCUUUGUACUGAUACAAGUGUAGAUUUCUUAACACUCAGCUACUGGUCCCAACUCUUGGAAGACAGCAAAGGCCUUCUGGGUUAAAAACAGUCUCAAAGGAACAGCUAUUGAGCAAUGGGAAGACAGGAAUCACAUCCUGCAAAAGAUCGGUGUAAGAGUGGCUGGCAUCUGCUAUAUCAUCUGAGGUAGAUUCGUGAGAGCCUUAUUUAUAGGUAGGACCACUCUGGAGGGUGUUGCCAACUGCAAAAUAUCCUGCAACUUGUACUGCAGAUCUUUGACCUCCUCCAGAGGGAUUGAUCCAUAGGGUGUCAGCGAGGCGUCUAAUGAGGUCCUGAAGCUGCCUGAUGUCAUAUGCCAUGGAAGGUUGUGGAGACAUGGAGAUGAUGGCUAACUCAUCUGCCCCAGACUCCUGCUCUUGAAAUAACUCCUCCUGUCAUGCUUAGCCAAAGAGAGAAGGAAAGGUUACUCACUGUGUGCAGUAACUGAGGUUCUUGGAGUCACGUGUCCCUGUGGAUGCUCCACUUCAGUAGGUGUUCCAAGACUAAUGGUAGUGGUGUGGUAGAGAUCAUCAAAUGUCUUGACACCAUGCAGAGAACCUCUUCCAUUUCUAAACUGAUGCCCAGUGAUCAUGGCAACAAUCCUGCUUGCGAACAGAAACCUGUGCAUUUGUGGUUCACUAGAGAUGCAAACAAGUGGAUAAUGGGAAUGCCCCAAUGGUUGAAGAUUGAUCUCAGAACCUCACCAUUCACCCCCAUUUUGUAGCCUUGGGAGAAGUAUCAGGUGAGUGUGUCCACCAUUGCAUUCGGAUGGCUGGGUAGAUAGCAUACUGUGAAGCUUAUGUUGUGUUGUAUGUACCAGAUCCAUAGUUGCUAUGCAGUGAAGCCAUGAAAGUGUGAAUGAGCUCCUCCUUGGAAGUUGAUGUAAAACAUGCAUGCAACAUUGUCAGUAAUGAUGAGAAUGGACUUGUUCUUUAUAUGAGGUAGGAAAUGCCUGUCAGCAUUGCAGACAGCUCUAAUAAGUUAAUGUGUAACAAUCUCCACUUGAGACUGUUUGCCUUGAAUCGUAUGUUAAUUUAUGUGUGUGCCCCACCCUAUCAGUGAAGCAUCUGUGGUGAUCACAGUCAAUGAGGGUUCCUGUUGGAACAGGAUACCCAUAAAAAAGUUUUGUGUCCUUGUCUACCACUGUAAAGCAUCCAGGACAGUGAGUGGUACUGAGAGUAAUUUGUGUAGGUUGUUUGCUGGGUAUGUGUUCCUAUACUAGGCUUAACCAUUCUUGCAUGUUGCACCAUGAAUGUUGUGGCUGCCAAGUGUCCUGGUAGUUGUUGGACCAUGCAAGCCCCUAUUUGGGGACUGGCUUGUGCCUCUGAGAGAAGGUUUGUAAGAGUGGUGAAUCUGGCUAGGGGCAGGGAUGCCUUGGCUACUAUGGUAUCAAGAUGUGCCCCAAUGAAGCCUAGAUGUUGGACCAGGAUUACAAUUGAUUUCCAUUCAUUUAUUUGUAACCCUAACUCCUGGAAUAGUGAAAUGGUGAUCCAGACUAUGUCCAUAGUUUCUUGUCGAGUUUGGCCUCUGAGAAGGUAAUCGUCCAGGUAAGGGAAGAUCAUAAUUCCCUGUUUGCAUUAGAUAUACCGCAACCACAGAUUGGGCUUGGGAGAAAACUCUUGGUGCAAUAGAUAGGCUGAAUACUCUGUACUGGAAGUGUUCCUGCAGACAUUUCCUCUGCAAGGGAUGAAUAGUGAUAUGAAAAUAAGUAUCUCCGAGGUCAAAGGCUGAAAACUAGUUCUCCUGUUGGAGCACUGGGAGAACUGUGCCCAAUGUAACUAUU